UUGGGCACUCUAAGGUGACUGCCGGCUAAAAAGUCGGAGGAAGGUGGGGAUGACGUCAAAUCAUCAUGCCCCUUAUGACCUGGGCUACACACGUGCUACAAUGGGCGGUACAAAGGGUCGCGAACCCGCGAGGGGGAGCCAAUCCCAAAAAGCCGCUCUCAGUUCGGAUUGCAGGCUGCAACUCGCCUGCAUGAAGCCGGAAUCGCUAGUAAUCGCGGAUCAGCAUGCCGCGGUGAAUACGUUCCCGGGCCUU
rnacentral:rRNA from 1 species